rnacentral:rRNA from 1 species
UACGAAGGGGGCUAGCGUUGCUCGGAAUCACUGGGCGUAAAGCGCACGUAGGCGGACUCUUAAGUCGGUGGUGAAAUCCUGGAGCUCAACUCCAGAACUGCCCUUCGAUACUGGAGAGUCUUGAGUCCGGGAGAGGUGAGUGGAACUGCGAGUGUAGAGGUGAAAUUCGUAGAUAUUCGCAAGAACACCAGUGGCGAAGGCGGCUCACUGGCCCGAUACUGACGCUGAGGUGCGAAAGCGUGGGGAGCAAACAGGG